UGGGGAAAUUAAAAUUGAAAGAAUGAAACUAAAAAGAUAAAAUCUAAACUUUAUUUGAAUGAAAGAAUGAAGUAUGAAAUGGAAUAAAAGAAAAGAAAAUAAAAGUCUAUACUGCCUAAAACAGAAUUAAAAUCUAAUUACUAUGAAUACCUAAAACUGAGAUAGAAACAUACACUGUACAAUCUAAAUAGAAUUACAGAACAGAAAUAAAACCUAAAGUCUAAUAGAGUGCAUUAACAAUCAAGAAAUAC
rnacentral:lncRNA from 1 species